GUUUUUGUAUUUUUAGUAGAGACAGGGUUUCAGGAUGUUAGCCAGGAUGGUCUCGAUCUCCUGACCUCGUGAUCCGCCCGCCUCGGCCUCCCAAAGUGCUGGGAUUACAGGCAUGAGCCACCACGCCAGGCCUAAUAAAGGACAAUUUUUAAUAGCCACUGGACUAUUUAAAUUAUCUAUUCUUCUGUCAGUUUCUUUUACCAUCAGAGGAUACAGCAGCAAGGUGCCAUCCUAGAAGCAGAGAGCAGACCCUUACCAGACAACCAACCAGCUGGUGCCACGAUCUUGGACUUCUCAGCCUCCAGAACUGAAGCAAUUGUCCAAUUAUUAGUGAAAUUGUCAUUUCAUGCUAUCGGCUAUUUGAAAUUCCUCCUCUAAUUUCAGAUUAACUCACUGAAAUUGACAUCGGCCAGUCUGAAUUUCAAGAAAUUACCUGCUGGAGACAAGAGGGAUCUCUUCUUCAGAUUUGCAGUCUGGGGAAGACAGCCUCUAUUGUACUUUAGAACCUGAGAUAUGGUGGUGGAGGGAGCCCUGGGUCAGUAGGAGUGGGGUCGGAGUGGUAAGAUUCACCCUU
rnacentral:lncRNA from 1 species